UACGUAGGAUCCAAGCGUUGUCCGGAUUUACUGGGUGUAAAGGGUGCGCAGGCGGACUUGUUAGUCAGAGGUGAAAUCUCACUGCUCAACAGUGAAACUGCCUUUGAUACUGCAGGUCUUGAAUCCAGAAGAGAGUUGUGGAAUUCCGAGUGUAGCAGUGAAAUGUGUAGAUAUUCGGAAGAACACCAGCGGCGAAGGCAGCAACUUGGUCUGGUAUUGACGCUCAGGCACGAAAGCGUGGGGAGCAAACAGG
rnacentral:rRNA from 1 species